CCUACGGGGGGCUGCAGUGAGGAAUAUUGGGCAAUGGGCGGGAGCCUGACCCAGCAAAGCCGCGUGAGGGAAGAAGGUACAGCGAAUCGUAAACCUCUUUUGUCAGGGAACAAAGGCGGGGACUAGUCCCCGGAUGAGGGUACCGGAAGAAAAAGCAUCGGCUAACUCCGUGCCAGCAGCCGCGGUAAUACGGGGGAUGCGAGCGUUAUCGGGAUUUAUUGGGUUUAAAGGGUGCGCAGGCGGACUGGUAAGUCAGCGGUAAAAGCACGGGGCUCAACCCCGGCGAGCCGUUGAAACUGGCGGGCUGGAGUUGAAGAGAAGUAGGCGGAAUGCGCGGUGUAGCGGUGAAAUGCUUAGAUAUCGCGCAGAACCCCGAUUGCGAAGGCAGCGUACCGGCUCCACACUGACGCUGAGGCACGAAAGCGUGGGUAUCGAACAGGAUUAGAUACCCUAGUAGUC
rnacentral:rRNA from 1 species